UGGGGGAUAUUGCACAAUGGGCGAAAGCCUGAUGCAGCGACGCCGCGUGGGGGAUGAAGGCCUUCGGGUUGUAAACUUCUUUUGCUCUGAACAAGGCAUGCUAAUGGGUGUGUUGAGUGUAGGGGUUGAUUAGCGCCGGCUAACUACGUGCCAGCAGCCGCGGUAAUACGUAGGGCGCGAGCGUUGUCCGGAAUUAUUGGGCGUAAAGGGCUUGUAGGUGGCUGGUUGCGUCUGUCGUGAAAGCUCAUGGCUUAACUGUGGGUUUGCGGUGGGUACGGGCUGGCUUGAGUGCAGUAGGGUAGGCUGGAAUUCCUGGUGUAGCGGUGGAAUGCGCAGAUAUCAGGAGGAAUACCGGUGGCGAAGGCGGGUCUCUGGGCUGUUACUGACACUGAGGAGCGAAAGCAUGGGGAGCGAACAGG
rnacentral:rRNA from 1 species